rnacentral:snRNA from 11 species
AUACUUACCUGGCUCAGAGGCAACCAUGAUCACCAAGGUGGUUCCUCCAGGGUGAGGCCUUUCCAUGCACUAAGGAUGGGC